AGUGAACGCUGGCGGUAGGCCUAACACAUGCAAGUCGAACGGCAGCACAGUAAGAGCUUGCUCUUACGGGUGGCGAGUGGCGGACGGGUGAGGAAUACAUCGGAAUCUACUUUUUCGUGGGGGAUAACGUAGGGAAACUUACGCUAAUACCGCAUACGACCUACGGGGAAAGCAGGGGAUCUUCGGACCUUGCGCGAUUGAAUGAGCCGAUGUCGGAUUAGCUAGUUGGCGGGGUAAAGGCCCACCAAGGCGACGAUCCGUAGCUGGUCUGAGAGGAUGAUCAGCCACACUGGAACUGAGACACGGUCCAGACUCCUACGGGAGGCAGCAGUGGGGAAUAUUGGACAAUGGGCGCAAGCCUGAUCCAGCCAUACCGCGUGGGUGAAGAAGGCCUUCGGGUUGUAAAGCCCUUUUGUUGGGAAAGAAAAGCAGCAGGUUAAUACCCCGCUGUUCUGACGGUACCCAAAGAAUAAGCACCGGCUAACUUCG
rnacentral:rRNA from 1 species